UCAAGAUGCAGAUGGAUGUUAUUAGGAAGGUUUUUACUUCGAAUAUGCACGGCUUGUCCACAUGGCUGAGAUUAGUGCCCAAUACUCAUAUAAUGCUUUUCAUCCUCAAAAGGACUUUACAAGCUCCAGCCCUCAAAACGCCCCCACAAGACUAUUUUCUUUUUUUUUCACUGAGUGAAUGUUUGCAUAGUUAUGUCAGUUGAAUGAAGGACUGCAGCAUCUCAGGAAAGAUGUUACUGGAUGGUUUCUUCCUGGAAGAAAAGAUCGAACACAAACGGAUGGAGUCUGGUAUCACUAAUUUGAGAAGCUGGGCCAGAUGUUGACAUGAGAUCUGGAGCACAUCUUCCCAGUGGGGGUACCAGGACAGAAGACCUCCCAUCAUCACUUUUACCCUUGAGGGAUGAGGGGCAGACCUGUACCACGGUCACAAGCACAGAGAAAGUUUGUGUAGACGUUCCUGAGCUUGAGAAACACACGCUUGACCUUCAAGAGUUGCUGCUGAUUUGUUCAGUGUUCACACUGUGUAGCACAGGCCUCCUGCUAUGCCUCCUGGGCGCUGCUGCAGUACAGCCACCUUGCCCUUUGUUUGGGCACCUUUAUCAGUACAGCUGAAGGGAACACUGUGUGGACUGUGAAUUCCUCUCCAGGAUCAUGUGAAUACUUGGACGGUAUGUGCUGUUGCUCCUAGUAUUAAUCUGACUAGCUAAAGCUGGUUUGCAUACGUCUGCAGCUACAGUAGAAGAUUAAUGGUAAAUAUUCCCAAAUGUAGCUAUGCAAAUAGCGGCAACAAAUUCUGAAUAAAUGCAUGAAAUGCAUUAUAGUAGUCAAAAAUUCUUCUGUUU